UACGAAGGGGGCUAGCGUUGUUCGGAGUUACUGGGCGUAAAGGGCGCGUAGGCGGCCCUCCAAGUCGGGCGUGAAAGCCCACGGCUCAACCGUGGAAUUGCGCUCGAGACUGAAGGGCUCGAGGACGGGAGAGGAUGGUGGAAUUCCCAGUGUAGAGGUGAAAUUCGUAGAUAUUGGGAGGAACACCAGUGGCGAAGGCGGCUCACUGGACCGGUACUGACGCUGAGGCGCGAAAGCGUGGGGAGCAAACAGG
rnacentral:rRNA from 1 species